ensembl:lncRNA uncharacterized LOC110076075
GAAUAUUUCCAAAGUUGAGGAAGAAUGCAGCUAAUGCAUCUAGUGAUAUUUUAAUCUGGAUAAUGAUAGUUAAUCUAUAUAGAGGUCAUCUUUAUGGUUUCUUAUGAUGUAAAUGACCUGAAGUGAGAUUUGGGCUCAUAUAAGCCUUGUGCUCCUACAUUCCUUCCUCAAGCAUGUCACUUUAGCAUUUAAUUGAAUUAUAAAGAUAAAUGUAAAGAUAGCAUUAAACUAUCAUAGGAAACUUAAAUGGUGGUUAUUCUUGUUUAUAACCUAUUAUUUUCAUUGACUUGAUUCAAACAAACCAUAGUUAAGACUAACCACCGUUUGGGUUUUUUUUUAAAUGAAAUGACAAGCUGUGUUUUAUCAAACAUGAACAAAAAAGGAAGCAAAAGCCUUAUGGAAGAAGGAUGGAUGAGGGCAAAAGACAAGAUUCAAGACCCAGGUUUAGGAUGUAUGUUGACUGGAUAGCCUUUGGAUAGCUUUCACCUUUGGCACUUUAUGACAUAAGAGAUUUUUUUUCUGAGAGUGGUUGCCCAAAAAAGAAACUUUUUCAAACUAUGCACACUUCCUCUAAGAAGGAGAAUAUCAAUGGAAAAUGGAAUAAACUGAGCAUAUUAUGUGGCAUAGGUUCACAUGGGCUCUGCAACAAAAGCAGCAAAUGUGAGAAUGGCAGGGGAGUUGCAGAAUGAGAGAGAGGUUGCUUGGGCAAGUUUCUCCCCCGGCACCACUGCUAGCAGUCUGACAAAAGGCCUCUUGGAGGAAGCAAAGCCUCAAGGGAAUUGUGCUGAUUCUACUGAGACCUCAAGACCCUGAACCAUGAGGAAGAACGGAAGCAGCCCAUCCAGCAUGAACACCACUUGCCAGCAUCGGAGCUUGUGUUAUGACCGCCUGAUCGAAAAAUGUGUGAGCUGCAAAGAGAUGCAGAGAGGCACUGAAAAAGAACCAACCACUAUUCUCAGAGUGGCCAACCCUACAACCCGUAUACCAGCAGGACCUUUUACUGAAGAUCACACUUGCUCAGCCCUUGCCUUUGGUCUCUACAUUUUUGUGGGGCUAAUCCUUGCCUUGGCAGUGCUGUGGCUUGUAACAAACCUGAGACAAAAGAAAAAGAAGAGGAUGAAAAAAGCAGAUGAGGAAGAUCCUAAAGAAAAUAAGGACUCCUUUGAAAAUGAAGUUCAUGAAGACCAUAGCUGCGGGCAAGGAGAUGAUGCUCCUGGACUACUUAAAUGCCCACAUGAAAAUGGCACUUCAAACACUGCUGGUGAUGAAAUUUUAAUGAGGAACAUGUACCAUAUUGUUAAGGCAGGAAGUGAUGCCUCUGAAGUUGUUCCCCGGUCUCCCCUCAAUGAAGAACGCAGCCCUGCUUUUCCAGUGCCGGCAACUGAACUUGGAACAACUAUGCUGGUAACGGCCAAGACGACUCAGGGGAAUUUUCUUAGUGAAAAGUUGCCUUAACAAUAGGUUUAAAACUGCUGGGACCGGCAGGUACUCCCUAAAAUGUGAUAUCAGUACUUUUAGUAUGAUGAAAGGCUAUUGAAUGGAUACAGGCACUAGAGGUUUCUCUCACUUCUAAUGGAAGUAGGUUUGCUGUUUGCCAAAUUCUAAUGUAAUGAAGCCGGCCUCAGCUGCCAGAGGAUUUCAGUUUUGGUUCAGAUCAGAAAAAGUAAGUUAAUAAUAAUGGGAUAAUUUACCGCCCCUUGCCUGGCUGCCUUUGAAAUGGGAGAAGACAAAAAGAAAAGAUAAGUCUAAGGAAAUAAAAUUAUUAUUCAGCGCA